GUGCUUGCUUCAGCAGCACAUAUACUAAAAUUGGAAUGAUACAGAGAAGAUUAGCAUGGCCCCUGAGCAAGAAUGACAUAGAAAUUCUGGAAAAAAAAAAAAAAAGC
ensembl:snRNA U6 U6 spliceosomal RNA